rnacentral:rRNA from 1 species
GCUGGGUUCAGAACGUCGUGAGACAGUUCGGUCCCUAUCCGUCGUGGGCGUAGGAAAUUUGAGAGGAGCUGUCCUUAGUACGAGAGGACCGGGAUGGACAUACCUCUGGUGUACCAGUUGUCGUGCCAACGGCAUAGCUGGGUAGCUAUGUAUGGACGGGAUAAGUGCUGAAAGCAUCUAAGCAUGAAGCCCCCCUCAAGAUGAGAUUUCCCAACUUCGGUUAUAAGAUCCCUCAGAGAUGAUGAGGUUAAUAGGUUCGAGGUGGAAGCGUAGCGAUACGUGGAGCUGACGAAUACUAAUCGAUCGAAGACUUAAUCAAUUU